rnacentral:lncRNA from 1 species
CAAACAUCGUGUAUUGGAUUCACACACAAUCAUUUUGUUUCCGGAGCUGUGCUACACUCUUGUCUCCAUGUCAUACAAAUAAUGGUGUAGUAAUCCAAGACCACAGGGACUCAUCCUUACUGAUUCUCUGAUUUGUUUUUUGUUUUGUUUUGUUUUUCAUACUGAGGAUCAAACCCACAGCCUUGGCACCCAAGUACAUGCCCAGCUCUUUUUACCGUUUAUUUUGAGUUAGGUUCUUGCUAAAUUCUGCAAGUAGACCUCAAACUUUCAGUCUUCCUGCCUCAGCUUCCCAGAGUGCAGGGCUUAUGGGCAUAUGGCACCACAAUGGGCUUUGUGAAUUAUUAAUGAAAAACAAUGGACGAGUUCUGAGUGUCAUAGGAAGUUCAGGGCUUACCCAAUGCGGAAAGCAAGAGAAUUCAUUAAAAGGGUAUCAGAGGACACCCUACCGACGUCCUGGGUCGUGCAGAACACGCCAAAACAGCCCACUGCAGACGGGCAGGUCUGCGCACGCCCUACCGAGGUCGCGAGUCCUGCAGAACAUGCCGAAUCAGCCCACGCCCCGGCAACAAUCCACUGGACCAACCCCCCCCCACACACACACACACCCCACUCCUCUGUACAGCCACCUGGUUCCACACUACAAAGACGCAGAGGACACUGGACCACCAGACCACAGUACUGAGUCCCACUGCUCCCGGCCCAGAGCUGGUGGCUGGCAGUGUUUGGGACCCUGGCUCAGGCCUGUCUAGUGAUUGUGAGGAAAUCGCUGAAGGAGAAUCACACCCUGCACCUCUGCCUCCUCCUACACCAGCAGUGUCCUCGGAAGUCAGAGCAGGAGCAGAUCCUGACCUCCUGGUAGAAAUCCAUGCAGAGUUGGAGAUAAUGUGGAGCUGUUUCUCCAGGGCAUUUUCUCUACCUUGAGUUCCAUAAUCUACAAAAUAACUCCAAAGUAAUAUUUUGAAACUAGCAAAAAUGCAUUUGUUUUGUAUUUAAGUAAUACCUCAUAAAUGUCUUCUGUAUGCUCUACCUGUCGUUCUGAUAGUACUUGAGAAAACACAAUUCUCUUGUUCCCGUGAUGCUAUGCUCUCAGUUACAGGAAACAGGCCUGUUCCUCUGACAUUGUCAAGCCAAUAAAGAAUACGGCCCAGGCUACCUUCUGUCCUUUCAAUGUCAAAUGUUGAAAAAAUAUUUCUUCGCCAUACAUAAUACAUUCUUAAAUGUGCUGUUGUUU